rnacentral:rRNA from 1 species
GUCUUUUUGAAAAUAAUUUAAGGUUUAACCUGCCCAAUGAUUUUUUAAAUGGCCGCAGUAAAUUGACUGUGCAAAGGUAGCAUAAUCAUUAGUUUUUUAAUUAAAAGCUGGUAUGAAUGGUUGGACGAGAUAUAAGCUGUCUUAAAUUAAAAUUUAGAAUUUUAUUAUUUAGUAAAAAAGCUAAAAUUUUAUUAAAAGACGAGAAGACCCUAUAGAUCUUUAUAUUUAUUUAAUUAUAAUUUAUUAAGAAAAAUUUAUAAUUUAAUUAAUCAAAUAUUUUAUUGGGGUAAUAAAAAGAUUUAAUUAAUUCUUUAUAUUAAAACAUUAAUUUAUGGUUUGAAAUUUUGAUCCUUUAAUUAAGAUUAUAAGAUUAAGUUACCUUAGGGAUAACAGCGUAAUUUUUUUGGAGAGUUCAUAUCGAUAAAAAAGUUUGCGACCUCGAUGUUGGAUUAAAAUUUAAUUUAAGUGCAGAAGUUUAAAUUUUUGGUCUGUUCGACCAUUAAAAUUUUACA